rnacentral:rRNA from 1 species
UCUUCCCUCUUCCCUCGUGCCUAAUACAUGCAAGUCGAGCGAACAGACGAGGAGCUUGCUCCUCUGACGUUAGCGGCGGACGGGUGAGUAACACGUGGAUAACCUACCUAUAAGACUGGGAUAACUUCGGGAAACCGGAGCUAAUACCGGAUAAUAUAUUGAACCGCAUGGUUCAAUAGUGAAAGACGGUUUUGCUGUCACUUAUAGAUGGAUCCGCGCCGCAUUAGCUAGUUGGUAAGGUAACGGCUUACCAAGGCAACGAUGCGUAGCCGACCUGAGAGGGUGAUCGGCCACACUGGAACUGAGACACGGUCCAGACUCCUACGGGAGGCAGCAGUAGGGAAUCUUCCGCAAUGGGCGAAAGCCUGACGGAGCAACGCCGCGUGAGUGAUGAAGGUCUUCGGAUCGUAAAACUCUGUUAUUAGGGAAGAACAAAUGUGUAAGUAACUAUGCACGUCUUGACGGUACCUAAUCAGAAAGCCACGGCUAACUACGUG